rnacentral:lncRNA from 1 species
GUUACACCUCAGUUAUACAGUAACCCAGAUUGGUUGACCAUUGUGAAGUUGAGUUUUUGGCGUAGCAUAGAUUUAUAUCGUUGUAUUCCUUUUGUUUGUGUUAACCAAUUGUCGUUCGGAAUUAUUUUUUAUACAUCAUUUAUUGAUCUUGCAAUUUCUUGUAAUUAAGUUUGCGUCUUAUUUCUUUGGUGUCAUAUUUUGGCUAUGUUUGUGUUCGAUCAUACAGUAUAAGUCGGUAGUUGCCCGCGAUGGAUUUUUUUUUUAUUUCUUUUGACUCUUUGCGUCUUAUUUUUUUAUUGCAGUUGGUUUUUGUUUUGUGUCAUGUGGAGAUAUGGUGUGAUUUUCUUUUUCUUUUGAUGUGUUUGCAUCUUAAAUGUGGAUUGCACUGAGUUAUUUUAUGAUUUCUUUUGUGCUAUAUUUUCGAUACAUUUUUAGUCUAUCUUAUAGCAUCUUACAAUUGUCCGACGACAUAUGAUACUUUUUUUUGUUCGCCAAUAUUUGUCAUACGAUUCAUACGAUUUGAAUU